rnacentral:lncRNA from 1 species
UCGUUCUCGUCAACCCUUAACAAAUUAUCUUUAAGCUCUCAAUGCCCUUUUUCAUUCUCCUUUUACGUCACCGCCUACUUCCCAAUUCCCAUAUCUUUUGCUGCAGAUUCACACCAUUCUCUCAGGUACAUACUCUUCAAAAUUUUCCCUUUUGGAUCUUACUUUUUCAUAUAGUUGCAUCAUGUAUAUUCUUUUUUACUUAUUAUUAUUAUUUUUAAUUCUACAGAUGUUUUAAAGAUUCAAAGAGUUGUUUGGAAUCAAGAAUUGGUGCUUUCUUCUUGCAAAGGUCAAAUCUUUAAUGGGUAUACAAUGAAUUGUUUGAUAAAGUUGUAAUUUUUCUGAUUUUGGUGUGUUUUAAAAUGCAUAAAGAAAUGCUAUAUAUGGUUCUUUUUAAGAAUUGAUUUAAGGUAAUUGAAUAUUGGUAUUUUGAUUUUUUUAUGGAUAUGUUGAUGAGGUGGUCAUGGCCAUGUUUUUGAGUGUUAGUUGUGGUGGAAUUAUAGUUUCAGAGAGGCCGAUCCAGAAUUUAGAGUCAUUUAGUUGGAAGUGGAUACCGGAUAUUAUGUAUAUACAUUUUCAAGAUCCUUUUUCAUAUGUAUACUUGGUUCGAGCUGAAAGCAGAAGGUUCAGUUGAACCCGUUGCUAAAGGCUAGAGACG